rnacentral:pre_miRNA from 8 species
ACUCCGUGAAGCCACUGGCUGACCUGCAGCAGUUCUUCACUGGCAAGCUUUAUGUCCUUGUGUACCAGCUAAAGCUGCCAGCUGAAGAACUGUUGUGGUUGGCUCUUUCCUGGCACAUCAGCA